GACGAACGCUGGCGGCGUGCUUAACACAUGCAAGUCGAACGGGAAUUCGUAGUCACAAGUCUCGGUUACAGAUUCCCGAUGAGCGAGGCGAACGGUUGCGUAACGCGUGAGUAACCUGACUAUGACAGUGGGAUAGGCACAGGAAACCGGGUUUAAUACAGCAUAAAAUCGUAGAAACACAUGUUUUAACGGUUAUGGGUUUAUCGGUCAUUGAUGGGCUCGCGUAUGAUUUGCUAGUUGGUGAGAUGACAGACCACCACGGCGACGAUCAGGAGCCGGUCUGAGAGGAUGAACGGCGACACUGGAACUGAGGCACGGUAGCAACGCGUACGGGAGGAAGCAGGGGGGAAUAUUGCAGAAUGGAGGAAGCGCUGAUGCAGCGGCGCCGCGUGAACGAAGAAGGUAUUCAUAGCGAAAAGUUCAGUCCGAUGGGAAGAUAAUGACAGUACCAGAGGAGAAAGCACCGGCUAAAUACGUG
rnacentral:rRNA from 1 species